rnacentral:rRNA from 1 species
AUACGUAGGGGGCGAGCGUUGUCCGGAAUGAUUGGGCGUAAAGGGUGCGCAGGCGGCCCGGUAAGUCUGGAGUGAAAGUCCUGUUUUUAAGAUGGGAAUUGCUUUGGAUACUGUCGGGCUUGAGUGCAGGAGAGGUAAGUGGAAUUACCAGUGUAGCGGUGUCAUGCGUAGAGAUUGGGAGGAACACCAGUGGCGAAGGCGACUUACUGGACUGUAACUGACGCUGAGGCGCGAAAGUGUGGGGAGCAAACAGGAUUAGAUACCCUGGUAGUCCACACUGUAAACGAUGAAUGCUAGGUGUAGGGGGUAUCGACCCCUUCUGUGCCGCAGUCAACACAAUAAGCAUUCCGCCUGGGGAGUACGGCCGCAAGGUUGAAACUCAAAGGAAUUGACGGGG